rnacentral:rRNA from 1 species
UACGUAGGAUGCGAGCGUUAUCCGGAAUUGUUGGGUGUAAAGAGUGUGUAGGCGGUAAAUUAAGUCUAAGGUCUAAGCCCGGAGCCCAACUCCGGUUCGCCUUAGAAACUGAUUUUCUUGAGUAUGGUAGAGGCAAACGGAAUUUCUAGUGUAGCGGUAAAAUGCGUAGAUAUUAGAAGGAACACCAGUGGCGAAGGCGGUUUGCUGGGCCAAAACUGACGCUGAGACACGAAAGCGUGGGGAGCAAACA